rnacentral:lncRNA from 1 species
AUGUCACUAAUGCCAGAACGAGACAAAGGGUUAAUCGUAUUGUGGAGGUGUUGGAGUGUGGAGAAUGUCACGGAUUUUUUAAAACUAAUUUUGUCACCCCUAUCUGAAUGGAGGAGGGAAGGAGUCCAAUUUCAUUGGUUUCUGGGCCUUCCCACACCUCUCCAAGGUCUCACAGGAUCUGGAAUCGAUCUCACUGGCCUCCAGGAUGAGAGCUUUGUUCCACCAUGCCCAAAGCACUCCUGCUGCUGUGUGUUGUCCUGGUGCUACUUGGGCUUGUGCCUGGAGCCACAGUGAGAAACGGAGAGAAAUGGAAGCCGCUCAACAAUCCCCGGAACAGAGAGCUGGUGUCUGGCUAUUUUAAAACUACAGAUCAAGCUUCUCAUCAGAAAAAUUCAAUCAUGGUCAUGGCUAAACCUUUUCCCCCUCCACUUUUGUCAAUUUAUAAUGGUUUUAUUCUACAUUUCCAGAUUUACAUAUAAAUGGGUCGAGCUUUGGGACAUAUGUGACUUAUGUGCAUAUUUUUGGAGUCUUUUUUCCAUUCUAUAAACCAUAAACAUCAAUGUAGAGCACUGGACAUAUUUCUAAGAGUUACAAAAAUACUGUAGAGUCCAAAGAGAUGAUGAUCUUUCAAAUUACCUUUCCUUUAAGCUUGUCUUUCAAGCUUGUGUGCUUAUUACCUUUUAUCAAUAAAUAUUAAAAAAUUUUUUUANGUUUAUUUAUU